rnacentral:rRNA from 1 species
AUGGAGUGCAGCGGCGACGAGGUGGUGGAGCUGAACUGUGCCCGCGCCGGCGGAGACCCCGGAGAGUACGCCGCCGUGCUGAAGAGGAAGCUGCAACUGUACUGCGCCGCCGUGGCCAAGACCAUGGAAGGUAAACCUCAAGAAUCUUCGUUGAACUGCCUCAGUUCACAAGCUUCGGACACUUCGCCAUUGGUUUCUCAAGCUUCUUUUGAUUGUGACGGUACUGUUGUUCAAGGAAAGCCAGCUAAUAGUUGUACAUCAAAGGAGCAGUCAGAUGAUGACGAUGGGGAUCUCGAGGAAAAUACAGACCCUGCCAGUGCCAAGCGCGUGAAGAGGAUGCUGUCAAAUCGAGAAUCUGCCAGGAGGUCAAGGAAAAGGAAGCAAGCCCACCAAAAUGAUAUAGAAUCACAGGUUACCCAGUUAAGAGCUGAGAAUGCAUCUUUGCUAAAGCGCCUGACUGACAUGACUCAGAAAUACAAGGAAGCUUCCCUUGGCAACAGGAAUCUUACAGUUGAUAUUGAGACUAUGAGAAGAAAGGUGAAUAUAGCUGAAGAAGCUGUCAGGAGAGUAACUGGAGCAAGCUUGAUGUUCUCCACUACAUCAAACAACGUGCCCUUGGCUUCAUGUGUAUCUGUUGCAGCUUCUGCUGAUGCUGUUCCCAGUGAGGAAAACAUGAGCCAUUUCCUCCAGGGUUUACUUGAAGACGAUCUGAUCAAACAUGACGUCUCAGAGGUAGCAACCCCUUUGCCCAAUGGGGAAGAGAUGGCCUCAAGGCCAGCCUCUUUGCGACGCGUCGCGAGCCUGGAGAACCUGCAGAAGAGGAUCCAUAGAGAUUCAGUGCACUCUGAGGACAUGUCGAUUUUCCCGGACCAUGAAGUCCCUGCCAAUGCUCAGUAA